AUUGAACGCUGGCGGCAGGCUUAACACAUGCAAGUCGAGCGGAAACGAUGAUAGCUUGCUAUCAGGCGUCGAGCGGCGGACGGGUGAGUAAUACUUAGGAAUCUACCUAGUAGUGGGGGAUAGCACGGGGAAACUCGUAUUAAUACGGCAUACGACCUACGGGAGAAAGGGGGCAGUUUACUGCUCUCGCUAUUAGAUGAGCCUAAGUCGGAUUAGCUAGAUGGUGGGGUAAAGGCCUACCAUGGCGACGAUCUGUAGCUGGUCUGAGAGGAUGAUCAGCCACACCGGGACUGAGACACGGCCCGGACUCCUACGGGAGGCAGCAGUGGGGAAUAUUGGACAAUGGGGGAAACCCUGAUCCAGCCAUGCCGCGUGUGUGAAGAAGGCCUUUUGGUUGUAAAGCACUUUAAGCAGUGAAGAAGACUCCGUGGUUAAUACCCACGGACGAUGACAUUAGCUGCAGAAUAAGCACCGGCUAACUCUGUGCCAGCAGCCGCGGUAAUACAGAGGGUGCAAGCGUUAAUCGGAAUUACUGGGCGUAAAGGGAGCGUAGGUGGCUCUAUAAGUCAGAUGUGAAAUCCCCGGGCUUAACCUGGGAACUGCAUCUGAAACUGUAGAGCUAGAGUAUGUGAGAGGGAGGUAGAAUUUCAGGUGUAGCGGUGAAAUGCGUAGAGAUCUGAAGGAAUACCGAUGGCGAAGGCAGCCUCCUGGCAUAAUACUGACACUGAGGCUCGAAAGCGUGGGUAGCAAACAGG
rnacentral:rRNA from 1 species